CACGUAGGAUGCGAGCGUUGUCCGGAAUCAUUGGGCGUAAAGAGCGCGCAGGCGGCUUGGCAAGUCGGGUGUGAAAUCCCGGGGCUCAACCCCGGGACUGCAUUCGAUACUGUCAGGCUAGAGGUAGGUAGGGGAGAUCGGAAUUCCUGGUGUAGCAGUGAAAUGCGUAGAUAUCAGGAGGAACACCGAUGGCGAAGGCAGGUCUCUGGGCUGAAACUGACGCUCAUGCACGAAAGCGUGGGGAGCAAACAGG
rnacentral:rRNA from 1 species